rnacentral:lncRNA from 1 species
AAAUUAUUUAAAAAAUGCAUCUUUCAAAAUUACAAAUAUUUCAUUGAUUGUGAUUUGUUAAAAUAACACAUGGUUAAAUGGGUUGUAGUCUGUGUAACCCCUCUCUCUUAAGUGAUUGGAUGUAUUGUACUACACACUCCAUCAUCAAGACAGUGGACUAAACAUACUUCUGGCAUAUUGUGUAAGUGUGUUAUGAUGAGAUGAGAUAAGGAUUUUCUUACUUUUGUGCACUGGCCUUGAUGAAUAUUACAUAUAUCUUUACUAUACUAUGUAAUGUGAGAACCAUCUAAGGUUAGUGAGCUAAUCAUGCAAGAGAAUCCAUAGGCUUUGAAUCAGAACAUGAGAUUAACAUUACUCCAGCAGAUCAAUCAUACGUGGCUGUCUUUUUUGCCGUCACUAGAUGAUGAUGGAGACUUUAGUGUGAUGUGCCUGAUUGUUUAUAAAGUAAAUUUUAUUAAUAUUACAUAUUAUAACUAAACUGGACACUAGUUCAGAAAAAUCACAAAAUUUGAAAAGAAUGUUGUGUACAAUAUAUGAAACAGAUCUGGUCAUCUCCAAUUGUUCUGCUGGCCACUUUUGUGAAAACUCCAAAUGUUUUGCGGAUUAUAUAUUAGUUAAAAAAAUAAUAAUUAAAUGUCAAUCAUUUAUUUUAUUUAUCAUUUGUAUAAGAUAUAUGAAUGACAAUCCUAUAAUAAUGUUUGGUGUGCAGCAGAUGGAAAAGGUGAUGGAACUCUUGUUAUUAAUGAUAUAAACUGAUGCUGAAAUUAAAGGAUAAUAUCCAAAAAUAGGUAGAACUUGCAUUAUACAUAAAGAAAUGCUAUAAAAUUUUGUAUGGCUGUUCAUUUUUAUUUGAUUCAUCAAAUGUAGGAAGAAUGAUAACAGUACUCUUCAGUUAAG